rnacentral:misc_RNA from 1 species
GAGGGCCCUCUGGGUCCAACCUCCCACCCAUGUUUAUUGUACCUUGUUGCUUCGGCGGGCCCGCCUCCCGGCCGCCGGGGGGCUUCUGCCCUCUGGCCCGCGCCCGCCGAAGACACCAUUGAACACUGUCUGAAGAUUGCAGUCUGAGCAAUUAGCUAAAUAAGUUAAAACUUUCAACAACGGAUCUCUUGGUUCCGGCAUCGAUGAAGAACGCAGCGAAAUGCGAUACGUAAUGUGAAUUGCAGAAUUCAGUGAAUCAUCGAGUCUUUGAACGCACAUUGCGCCCCUUGGUAUUCCGGGGGGCAUGCCUGUCCGAGCGUCAUUGCUGCCCUCAAGCACGGCUUGUGUGUUGGGCCCCGUCCUCCUUCCCGGGGGACGGGCCCGAAAGGCAGCGGCGGCACCGCGUCCGGUCCUCGAGCGUAUGGGGCUUUGUCACCCGCUCUUGUAGGCCCGGCCGGCGCUUGCCGACAACCAUCAAUCUUUUUUCAGGUUGACCUCGGAUCAGGUAGGGAUACCCGCUGAACUUAAGCAUAUCAAUAA